GAGGGCCUCAUCUCCUUGACAACAACAGAUACUUAGGUCGGUGAUGAUCCCACGGAGAGCACCGGCAGCGGCAGGGCGGAGCCCCUUUCCCACCGCUCAUCCGGCGGCGGAAGAGGAAGAGGAAGCCACUCUCGCCAUAUCGGAUCAGAGGAUUCUCUAUCUUGUGAACAUAUUCAUUGGUAACACCGCCCGCUUCCUCAACUCCUUCGCCUCGCUCUGCCAGGACAAGCUCGCCGACGUCCACAGGAGAAUAUUGAGGUUGGAUGCAAAUCUUACCCUUCUUGAAUCACAGCUACAGAGCACAUGUCCUGAUCAGGAGUUUAAGAAAGAGGCUAGCUUAGAAGCAACAACUUCUUCAAGUGAAACCAUUCCAUAAAUCAUAAGCAACAUGGAACCGACAUUAGUAUCUGAUGAAUAAUUUGAGUUGCUUAUUCUUUCUUGUAACUUAACAACGCUCAUCUCUGUCCUUCAGGUUGUCAUUUUGUAGGUAAGUUUAUCAAAGAUGUCAGGUGUAAUUGUUCAAGAAAUCUUUAGAGGAAUCACCAGAGUUCUUUCUCUUAAUUAGAGGGAAUAAGUUUGAUAAAACAAGUGUUGUUUGUAUCUCAUUGACUUUGUGUAUCCAGUGGUGUGUUUACUAUGUCUAUGCUUUCGGAACCGAAAUGCUUUGAAUAUACCGAAUCCUUGUGCAUGUAA